rnacentral:rRNA from 1 species
GACGAACGCUGGCGGCGUGCUUAACACAUGCAAGUCGAACGAAGAGCGAUGGAAGCUUGCUUCUAUCAAUCUUAGUGGCGAACGGGUGAGUAACGCGUAAUCAACCUGCCCUUCAGAGGGGGACAACAGUUGGAAACGACUGCUAAUACCGCAUACGAUCCAAUCUCGGCAUCGGGACUGGAUGAAAGGUGGCCUCUAUUUAUAAGCUAUCACUGAAGGAGGGGAUUGCGUCUGAUUAGCUAGUUGGAGGGGUAACGGCCCACCAAGGCGAUGAUCAGUAGCCGGUCUGAGAGGAUGAACGGCCACAUUGGGACUGAGACACGGCCCAGACUCCUACGGGAGGCAGCAGUGGGGAAUCUUCCGCAAUGGGCGAAAGUCUGACGGAGCAACGCCGCGUGAGUGAUGACGGCCUUCGGGUUGUAAAGCUCUGUUAAUCGGGACGAAUGGUUCUUGUGCGAAUAGUGCGAGGAUUUGACGGUACCGGAAUAGAAAGCCACGGCUAACUACGUG